rnacentral:rRNA from 1 species
GCCGAAGCGAAAGCGAGUCUUAAGAGGGCGAAAGUUGCAUGCAGUAGACCCGAAACCGGGUGAUCUAGCCAUGACCAGGUUGAAGUUGGGGUAAAACCCGAUGGAGGACCGAACCGACCCCCGUUGAAACGUUGGCGGAUGAGUUGUGGCUAGGGGUGAAAUUCCAAUCGAACCCGGAGAUAGCUGGUUCUCCCCGAAAUAGCUUUAGGGCUAGCGUCGAGGUAGAAGAGUUGCGUGAAGGUAGAGCACUGAAUAUGUGAUGGCCCCAUCUCGGGGUACUGAGCAUAAUCAAACUGCGAAUGUCACGGAAACAUACUCGGCAGUCAGACAGCGGGUGAUAAGGUCCGUUGUCAAGAGGGAAACAGCCCAGACCAUCAGCUAAGGUCCCAAAAUGUAUGCUAAGUGGAAAAGGAUGUGGAGAUGUACAGACAACUAGGAGGUUGGCUCAGAAGCAGCCAUCCUUUAAAGAGUGCGUAACAGCUCACUAGUCGAAUGACUCUGCGCCGAUAAUUUACCGGGGCUAAGCAUACUACCGAAGCUAUGGAUCCCAAGGGAUGGUAGGGGAGCGUUCCAUGAACGGAGAAGCGCGAUCGAGAGGACGCGUGGAGAUCAUGGAAGAGAGAAUGCCGGUGUGAGUAGCGGAACGUGGGUGAGAAUCCCACGCACCGAAAACCCAAGGUUUCCAGAGGAAGGUUCGUCCGCUCUGGGUAAGUCGGGACCUAAGGCGAGGCCGAGAGGCGUAGUCGAUGGACAACAGGUAGAGAUUCCUGUACUCAUAUAUAUGUGAAGGAAUGACGGAGAGAGGAAGCUGCAGCCAGCGGCUGGAAGAGCUGGUGCAAGCGAGAUAUCGGGAUGGCAGGCAAAUCCACCAUCCGAAACGAGAAGGCGUGAAGCGUACGGAAAGCUAAGGCGAGUACGGAAGGCAGUGGAGGAGCUUCCAAGAAAAGUUUCUAACGAAAGUAUAUGUGACCCGUACCGAAAAUGGACACACAUGGGUGAGGAGAGAAUCCUAAGGUGAGCGAGAGAACUAUAGCUAAGGAACUCUGCAAAAUGACUCCGUAACUUAGGGAGAAGGAGUGCUCAUAGAGAUAUGAGCCGCAGUGAAACGGCCCAAGCGACUGUUUACCAAAAACACAGCUCUCUGCUAAGCCGCAAGGCGAAGUAUAGGGGGUGACGCCUGCCCGGUGCUGGAAGGUUAAGGGGAGGGGUUAACGCAAGUGAAGCCCUGAACUGAAGCCCCAGUAAACGGCGGCCGUAACUAUAACGGGCCUAAGGUAGCGAAAUUCCUUGUCAGGUAAGUUCUGACCCGCACGAAAGGCGUAACGAUUUGGGCGCUGUCUCAGCUGUAGACUCGGUGAAGUCUUAGUACCUGUGAAGAUGCAGGUUACCCGCGACUAGACGGAAAGACCCCAUGGAGCUUCACUGCAGGUUGAUAUUGGGAUUUGAUGCAGCAUGUACAGGAUAGGUAGGAGGCAAAGAGAUGGAUACGCCAGUAUUCAAGGAGCCGCUGUUGGGAUACUACCCCUGUUGUAUUGGAUUUCUAACCGGACGACGUAAAGCCGUUGACGGGACAGUGUCAGUCGGGCAGUUUGACUGGGGCGGUCGCCUCCCAAAGAGUAACGGAGGCGCCCAAAGAUACCCUCAGCUUGGAUGGAAACCAAGCGCAGAGUGCAAAGGCAAAAGGGUGUUUGACUGCGAGACCUACAAGUCGAGCAGGGACGAAAGUCGGGCUUAGUGAUCCGGCGGUGCUGAAUGGAAAGGCCGUCGCUCAACGGAUAAAAGCUACCCUGGGGAUAACAGGCUGAUCUCCCCCAAGAGUUCACAUCGACGGGGAGGUUUGGCACCUCGAUGUCGGCUCAUCGCAUCCUGGAGCUGAAGUCGGUUCCAAGGGUUGGGCUGUUCGCCCAUUAAAGCGGUACGCGAGCUGGGUUCAGAACGUCGUGAGACAGUUCGGUCCCUAUCUGUCGUGGGCGCAGGAAAUUUGAGAAGAGCUGUCCUCAGUACGAGAGGACCGGGAUGGACGCAUCAAUGGUGGACCAGUUGUCACGCCAGUGGCAUAGCUGGGUAGCUAAAUGCGGAAGGGAUAAACGCUGAAGGCAUCUAAGUGUGAAACCCACUUCAAGAUGAGAUUUCCCAUUGC